rnacentral:sRNA from 1 species
UAUAAGAAGUUACUUAUAGGUAAAAAUUCACUUAUGAGCAAAAUUAUUUAGAAGUACAAAUUAACUUAUAAUUAUAAAGUUUACUUAAAAGUAAAAAUUUUUAAUUAAAUAUAUAACUUUUUAAAUUAAAUAUUAGCUUAUAUGUAAAAAAAAUACAUAUACAAGUAGAAUCACUUAUUAGUGAAAAAAUUUCAUACAAGAAAUUAUAAAUCUAAAAUUUCAAUAAUGGACAUAUAUUAAUUUUAUUAAUUUAAAAUGUUUGGAUAAUAAACUCCUAAUCGUUGAUUAAACUGUUUUAAAAAUCGCUACUAAAAUCACUCAUAAUUGAUCAAUUCAUAAUCCCUCAAAGCCGAUACUUUAAAAAACGCUCCCAAGCAGUCCUAUAAGAUUCUUUAUAUUGUCUCUUGCUUAUCAGGAUUCUUGGCUUCAAAUAAAAUGUGUGGCAUCUGAAUCCACAGGUGAUGGACAUGAGCAAUGGAUUCAACAAAAUGCUGAUUUUAAUCAUGUUUACUUUGGUGGAGACAGUGCUGGAGCCAACAUAGCUCACAACAUGGCCAUAAGAUUUGGUCAAGAGAAGUUGCCUGGGAUCAAUCUAGAUGGAAUUUUUCUCAACUGUCCAUUUUUUUGGGGUAAAGAUUCAAUUGGGAACGAAGGGACAUCCUUAGUAUUUAAGAAGAGUUAUGUUGAUAAUUUUUGGGCUUUUUCUUUUCCAAGCGCUACAGGUUUAGAUGACCCUUUGAUAAAUCCUUCCAUGGAUUUGAAUCUUUCAAAACUGGGGUGCAAAAAAGUGCUUAUUUAUGUUGCAGAAGAAGAUAUUCUUAAGGAACGAGGUUAUCAUUACAAGGAAGCAUUGAAGAAAUGUGGGUGGAAUGGAGAGGUAGAUAUUGUAGAUGUAAAAGGGGAGAACCAUGUAUUUAGUGUGCUUUUCCCUAACAGUGAAAAUGGCAAGGCUAUGCUGAAAAGAGUGGCUUCUUUCAUUAAUCAGUAGUCGUAAUAUUGAGAGAAGAAAAAAGAAGCUAAAACUCUCGUCUGUUGUAUUGUCAAGUCGUGUUAUAUUGUGUAUGUCUUAUUUGCGACAAGUUGCUUCAUAUAUUGUGUAUGUCUUAUUUGCGGAGCAAUAGCUCGAGGUGCUCGUAUGGGCUGCUAGUUCCGUAGCUUGUAAUAAUUUGGUGUUGAACGGAAAUUUUAAAAGAAAUUGUUAAAGAGUAAUUCUUGAAUUUCACUGGUAUCUCUUUAUAGUAUGUAACAUGUAUGAAUUUGUUGAUUGGAAUGUGUGAAUAUAUGAAUAAGUUAGUCUAUGAGUAAAAUAAACAUAUUCAAUCAAAACAAAGUGAGGUUGGGAAUCAAUUUUAGAAAACUCACUUCUUAGACCACUCUAAGCAUAUAGGUUUUGCACUUGUUUUCUAACUUGAGCGUCAGAGCGUCCAAACUUGCAUAUUUGACAGUUCUUCUUUCGUCUUCAUUUUAUGUCUUACACCCACGACACAAUUACUAAGCCUAAUGUGUAGCAAGUUUAUAAGACUCAAGUAGAAAGAACAAUAAUAUGCAUUCAUUUGAAUAAUGAAUCACACCACCGUUAUUCGUAGCCACUCUUUAUCUCACUUUAUAGGUUGUACGCCCCACAAUUAAUUCUUCAAGACAUCAUACACAAUCAAAGUCGAACUUGGAUGCUAUUAUGCUAGAUGUUGGAUGCAUAUGGUGGCCUUUUUGGAGUGGAUAAAAUAGUGUUGAAAUAUGUAUUUGAUGAUAUAUUUUAUUUCUUCUAGAUAUUGAAUUUAUUUGUGUUGUUAGCUCAAGGUUUUAUAAAAAAAUAUUCGAUUUCAAUUUGGGUUCGGAUUCAGUAAUUAUGUAAACUAGAACGGUCCCGUUUAUGAAAUACUCGAGUGACUUCGAGUAUUGAAAUAUUUGACCGAUCCGACUGAUGCUAGACAUUGCUUACGAGUCCAAAAACCAUUUUCCUUUGGUUUUCAAUACCAAUGGUUACAAAUUUAACUGAAAUACUCCAUCAUUUUUCCACAUUGAAACGAACAUUAAAUGACAAUUGUCGAAAGAAGUGCUGGAACACAUAUUGUUCCUGCAUCAACAAAUUUAGAAACUGAGGUUCAAUCCGAAGUCGUCAAGAUUUCACCGGAUUUUGCUACAUCUGCUCCACUCUACCUGCUGGCCGGAACUGCCAAUCCCGGCCGGAAACUUCCACUCCUCGUUUAUUUUCAUGGUGGCGACAGGUGUUUGUACCAUAACCAUAUGAAUCCCCUCCUCGCUGAAACAAAUAUUGUUGUGGUUUUGGUUAGUUAUUGAUUUUCCUGGAGCACCCUGUUUCGAUUACCUGUAAGGAUUCUCGUUACUCUUCUCGUCUUCCAAAAAUGAUCUAGCUGCACGGUAUUAUUGUUAGAAUUAGAAAUUGAGUAUAAAACUUUGUGUAGCUCUUACUAGAAAACCGUAAUAUAGAAUUUCAAUCUAGCUCUAAAAAAGGAAGAUUGUCUAAUAAAGAAUAAUGCUACUUGUAAAUAAUUGUGUACGUUUACAUAUUGAUGGUAUAGAUAAAAUUAACUUACUUCAUUUUAUUUUAAUUGAAUAAUGCUGUUUGCAGUAACUCACUAUCUUAAUAGUCAUAUGUUGCAUACAUGUGACGAUUAAUGAUUUAAUGCAUAGAACAAUAAAAAAACUACCAUAUUAACGCAUCAAAUCACUAACUACCAAUAUUUUGAUAUCUUCAACACCUCCAAACUCAAUAUGGUGCUAUAAAAAUCAAAUCAAUGGUUGAAAAAUUAAAUAGAUUCGAGGUCAUUUUAUUUUGAUUUACUCAUGUGGGCAGCUGGUUUUUUUAGCUCGGUAGAGACAAAAUCUUUUUCCUUAGGAUCCUCUCAAAUGGAAAUAGAACUUAUUUCAAGGUAUUUACAUGGGGUUCAUCUUUAAGAAAGUCCCCGAGAAAAAGUUGACAAAUAAGUCAUCCUUACCGUUACCUUUGGCUUCUCAUUUAAGAAAUAAAGAUUGUCAAGAAUAAUUCUUGAAUUUCUCUGGUAUUUCUUGCAUUUACUAUAUAGAACACUUUGGAAUUGGUGUUUUUUUUUUUUUUUUUUUAGGGGAUUGUGAAGAAGUUUGAAUAGACCUGCUUGAUCCCAUUAUCCAAAAACUCAUUUUCCAUAUAUUUUCACAAUAAAAUAUUAUACACGUAAAUCAAAAUUUUUCAUACUUUUUAAUCACAUAUUAUGCCAAAAAUUCACUAUAUCAAAAUUUAUUUUCAAUGAAAAUGGGGUUCAAAUACAUCCUAAGUAGACACAACAUUCAUUUUGCAUAGCGUUAGACUAAUUUUCAUAUUUGCGCAAUGUUGUCAACAUUCGUUUCGUAACUUUAUGUUACGAGAGUCUACAAUGAAAUAAUAUUGACAUUUCUCGUUACCUAUCUAAGACCCGUUUGACAAUAAUUAAAAUGAGUUUUUUUUUUUUUUUUUUUUUUUUUAUGGUAAAUGAGUUUUGGAAUAAUGAUUUUUUUUUUGGAGAAUAUAUGGUUAAAAAGUAAGAAAUAUUUUUUUGUUUGUCUGCAAAAUAUUAUAUUAUAAAAAUGUGUAGUUGAAAAUAAGUUUGAAUUAUGUAUUUAUUUAUUUUAUUUCAACGGUUGUCAAAAGGGCUAAAUAUAACAAACUAGAAGAAUGAGUCCGUGGCAAUCCUAAAUUUCUUUAAUCAUAUUGCAAA